GCAACCUGGGACUCACAUGGUCGUUGGAUGACCAAGUUCAGGCUCCAGGAGCCGUGCCUGAGACUCCCUAUGUCUGCCUAAGACUGGUCCCAGUUCGGUUCUCUCCCACAGCCAGAGCUGGUGGAACGUCUCAUUGCUGUAGAUAUCAGCCCAGUGGAAAGCACAGGUGUCUCCCACUUUGCAACCUACGUGGCAGCCAUGAGGGCCAUCAACAUCGCAGAUGAGCUGCCCCGCUCCCGUGCCCGAAAACUGGCGGAUGAACAGCUCAGUUCUGUCAUCCAGGACAUGGCCGUGCGGCAGCACCUGCUCACUAACCUGGUAGAGGUAGACGGGCGCUUCGUGUGGAGGGUGAACUUGGAUGCCCUGACCCAGCACCUAGACAAGAUCUUGGCUUUCCCACAGAGGCAGGAGUCCUACCUCGGGCCAACACUCUUUCUCCUUGGUGGAAACUCCCAGUUCGUGCAGUAAGCUAGCCUGGGUAGUAGGAGGGGCAUGCUUUACUCGCCCAGGCCCCGGCCUGGGGACCCUACCAGGGG
rnacentral:sRNA from 1 species